AUUGAACGCUGGCGGCAGGCCUAACACAUGCAAGUCGAACGAGUGGCGGACGGGUGAGUAAUGUGUGGGAAAAUGCCCGAUGGCGGGGGAUAACUACUGGAAACGGUAGCUAAUACCGCAUAGCCUCGGAUGUGGCCAUGUGGGAUUAGCGAGUUGGUGGGGUAACGGGUCACCUAGGCGACGAUCCCGAGCUGGGCUGAGAGGAUGACAAGCCACACUGGAACUGAGACACGGUCCAGACUCCUACGGGCGGCAGCAGUGGGGAAUAUUGCGCAAUGGGCGCAAGCCUGAUGCAGCCAUGCCGCGUGUAUGAAGAAGGCCUUCGGGUUGUAUAGUACUUUCAGCUGUGAGGCGUUACCCGCAGAAGAAGCACCGGCUAACUCCGUGCCAGCAGCCGCGGUAAUUC
rnacentral:rRNA from 1 species